AAGUCGUAACAAGGUUUCCGUAGGUGAACCUGCGGAAGGAUCAUUAACGAAUAACUAUGGUGUCUUGGUUGUAGCUGGCUCCUCGGAGCAUUGUGCACGCCCGCCAUUUUUAUCUAUCCACCUGUGCACCGACUGUAGGUCUGGAUGACUCUCGCACUCCUCGAGUGCGGAUGCGGGGAUUGCCCUCUUCACGGAGGUGUCUCUCCUCGAAUUUCCAGGCUCUACGUCUUUUUACACACCCCAAAAGUAUGAUAUAGAAUGUAGUCAAUGGGCUUGAUAGCCUAUAAAACACUAUACAACUUUCAGCAACGGAUCUCUUGGCUCUC
rnacentral:misc_RNA from 1 species